GUGUGAAGUUGCUGGAUACUGGUGGGAACUGGAAUACGCUGUCGUACACAUUGAUCUAGAGCAUCCCAAACUUGAUCAAUGGGUGACAUGUCUGGGCACUCUGUUCACAACAUUGACAUCAACUGCUUGCCUACACGAUACACGCUUUCUGCCAUCUGCCCGAUACAGUUGAGACCAGGAUUCAUCAGUGAAGAGCAUGGUUCUCCAGCGUGCCAGUAGCUAUCAAAGGUGAGCAUUUGCCCACUGAAGUUGGUUAUGAAGCCGAACUGCAGUCAGGUCAAGACCCUGGUGAGGACAACGAGCACACAGAUGAGCUUCCCUGAGACGGUUCUGUCAAUUUGUGCAGACAUUUUUCAGUUGUGCAAACCCACAGUUUCAUCAGCUGUCCUGGUACCUGGUCUAAGACGAUCUAGCAGGUGAAGUAGCCGGAUUUGGAGGUCCUGGGCUAGCAUGGUUACACAAGGUCUGCGGUUGUGAGGCCAGUUGGACGUACUGCCAAAUUCUCUAAAACAACGUUGGAGGCGGCUUAUGGUGGAAGAAGAUGAGAAUGAGAGGAAGCCUCCAAACGCCUUAAACCAGAGUCAGGAAAUGCACCCACAUCCACAACUGCUCUACUAGGCCCAAGGGAAUCCAGAACUAGAAGCAGAGAUGAGAGCUCAGGCUGAGCACUCCUACCUGGAGACGGUGCUGUGGAGGUGGCAGAGGAUGCUGGGGGGCCAGAGGGACGAGAUGAGGAGGCUGAAGACUGACAUGAAGAGGGAGACAGAGAGCUUGCAGACUCUGCUCGCUGGCCUCUUGAAGAUCUGGGGGUGGAGGCAGAGAGAAAUGAAAAUUAAAUGCGGGUUAGUUCAAUUGUCUGAAAAUGUAACCCCAGUUUGAGGUGGCGCCGAACCGCUCUGCCAAGUUCCUGAAGGAGAACAACAAGCUGAGCUGCCUGCUUCGCAUGGUGGAGUCCUUGGUGGCCGACCUGCAGCCCCUGCUCACCUACCACCAGGUCCUUGUGGAGGACACCAUGAAGGACAACUCCAUAUAACACAAGAUGUAAAAAGAACUCUGAAGGACUGAUAAAUAAAAGUUUCUGAUUGUG